rnacentral:rRNA from 1 species
UGGGGAAUUUUGGACAAUGGGGGAAACCCUGAUCCAGCCAUCCCGCGUGUGCGAUGAAGGCCUUCGGGUUGUAAAGCACUUUUGGCAGGAAAGAAACGUCGCGGGUUAAUACCCCGCGAAACUGACGGUACCUGCAGAAUAAGCACCGGCUAACUACGUGCCAGCAGCCGCGGUAAUACGUAGGGUGCAAGCGUUAAUCGGAAUUACUGGGCGUAAAGCGUGCGCAGGCGGUUCGGAAAGAAAGAUGUGAAAUCCCAGAGCUUAACUUUGGAACUGCAUUUUUAACUACCGGGCUAGAGUGUGUCAGAGGGAGGUGGAAUUCCGCGUGUAGCAGUGAAAUGCGUAGAUAUGCGGAGGAACACCGAUGGCGAAGGCAGCCUCCUGGGAUAACACUGACGCUCAUGCACGAAAGCGUGGGGAGCAAACAGGAUUAGAUACCCUGGUAGUCCACGCCCUAAACGAUGUCAACUAGCUGUUGGGGCCUUCGGGCCUUGGUAGCGCAGCUAACGCGUGAAGUUGACCGCCUGGGGAGUACGGUCGCAAGAUUAAAACUCAAAUG